GAUGAACGCUGGCGGCGUGCCUAAUACAUGCAAGUCGAGCGAACGGACGAGAAGCUUGCUUCUCUGAUGUUAGCGGCGGACGGGUGAGUAACACGUGGAUAACCUACCUAUAAGACUGGGAUAACUUCGGGAAACCGGAGCUAAUACCGGAUAAUAUUUUGAACCGCAUGGUUCAAAAGUGAAAGACGGUCUUGCUGUCACUUAUAGAUGGAUCCGCGCUGCAUUAGCUAGUUGGUAAGGUAACGGCUUACCAAGGCAACGAUGCAUAGCCGACCUGAGAGGGUGAUCGGCCACACUGGAACUGAGACACGGUCCAGACUCCUACGGGAGGCAGCAGUAGGGAAUCUUCCGCAAUGGGCGAAAGCCUGACGGAGCAACGCCGCGUGAGUGAUGAAGGUCUUCGGAUCGUAAAACUCUGUUAUUAGGGAAGAACAUAUGUGUAAGUAACUAUGCACGUCUUGACGGUACCUAAUCAGAAAGCCACGGCUAACUACGUGCCAGCAGCCGCGGUAAUACGUAGGUGGCAAGCGUUAUCCGGAAUUAUUGGGCGUAAAGCGCGCGUAGGCGGUUUUUUAAGUCUGAUGUGAAAGCCCACGGCUCAACCGUGGAGGGUCAUUGGAAACUGGAAAACUUGAGUGCAGAAGAGGAAAGUGGAAUUCCAUGUGUAGCGGUGAAAUGCGCAGAGAUAUGGAGGAACACCAGUGGCGAAGGCGACUUUCUGGUCUGUAACUGACGCUGAUGUGCGAAAGCGUGGGGAUCAAACAGGAUUAGAUACCCUGGUAGUCCACGCCGUAAACGAUGAGUGCUAAGUGUUAGGGGGUUUCCGCCCCUUAGUGCUGCAGCUAACGCAUUAAGCACUCCGCCUGGGGAGUACGACCGCAAGGUUGAAACUCAAAGGAAUUGACGGGGACCCGCACAAGCGGUGGAGCAUGUGGUUUAAUUCGAAGCAACGCGAAGAACCUUACCAAAUCUUGACAUCCUCUGACCCCUCUAGAGAUAGAGUUUUCCCCUUCGGGGGACAGAGUGACAGGUGGUGCAUGGUUGUCGUCAGCUCGUGUCGUGAGAUGUUGGGUUAAGUCCCGCAAUGAGCGCAACCCUUAAGCUUAGUUGCCAUCAUUAAGUUGGGCACUCUAAGUUGACUGCCGGUGACAAACCGGAGGAAGGUGGGGAUGACGUCAAAUCAUCAUGCCCCUUAUGAUUUGGGCUACACACGUGCUACAAUGGACAAUACAAAGGGUAGCGAAACCGCGAGGUCAAGCAAAUCCCAUAAAGUUGUUCUCAGUUCGGAUUGUAGUCUGCAACUCGACUACAUGAAGCUGGAAUCGCUAGUAAUCGUAGAUCAGCAUGCUACGGUGAAUACGUUCCCGGGUCU
rnacentral:rRNA from 1 species